rnacentral:rRNA from 1 species
UGUAUAAUGGGUCAGCGACUUAUAUUCUGUAGCAAGGUUAACCGAAUAGGGGAGCCGAAGGGAAACCGAGUCUUAACUGGGCGUUAAGUUGCAGGGUAUAGACCCGAAACCCGGUGAUCUAGCCAUGGGCAGGUUGAAGGUUGGGUAACACUAACUGGAGGACCGAACCGACUAAUGUUGAAAAAUUAGCGGAUGACUUGUGGCUGGGGGUGAAAGGCCAAUCAAACCGGGAGAUAGCUGGUUCUCCCCGAAAGCUAUUUAGGUAGCGCCUCGUGAAUUCAUCUCCGGGGGUAGAGCACUGUUUCGGCAAGGGGGUCAUCCCGACUUACCAACCCGAUGCAAACUGCGAAUACCGGAGAAUGUUAUCACGGGAGACACACGGCGGGUGCUAACGUCCGUCGUGAAGAGGGAAACAACCCAGACCGCCAGCUAAGGUCCCAAAGUCAUGGUUAAGUGGGAAACGAUGUGGGAAGGCCCAGACAGCCAGGAUGUUGGCUUAGAAGCAGCCAUCAUUUAAAGAAAGCGUAAUAGCUCACUGGUCGAGUCGGCCUGCGCGGAAGAUGUAACGGGGCUAAACCAUGCACCGAAGCUGCGGCAGCGACACUAUGUGUUGUUGGGUAGGGGAGCGUUCUGUAAGCCUGUGAAGGUGGCCUGUGAGGGUUGCUGGAGGUAUCAGAAGUGCGAAUGCUGACAUAAGUAACGAUAAAGCGGGUGAAAAGCCCGCUCGCCGGAAGACCAAGGGUUCCUGUCCAACGUUAAUCGGGGCAGGGUGAGUCGACCCCUAAGGCGAGGCCGAAAGGCGUAGUCGAUGGGAAACAGGUUAAUAUUCCUGUACUUGGUGUUACUGCGAAGGGGGGACGGAGAAGGCUAUGUUGGCCGGGCGACGGUUGUCCCGGUUUAAGCGUGUAGGCUGGUUUUCCAGGCAAAUCCGGAAAAUCAAGGCUGAGGCGUGAUGACGAGGCACUACGGUGCUGA